GGAGGGGGCAAGCGUUGUUCGGAAUUACUGGGCGUAAAGGGCGCGUAGGCGGGAAGUCAAGUUAGGGGUGAAAGGCCUGGGCUCAACCUAGGAACUGCCUCUAAAACUGGCUUUCUAGAGUCCGGGAGAGGAUGGCGGAAUUCCCAGUGUAGAGGUGAAAUUCGUAGAUAUUGGGAAGAACACCAGUGGCGAAGGCGGCCAUCUGGUCCGGCACUGACGCUGAGGCGCGAAAGCGUGGGGAGCAAACAGGAUUAGAUACCCUGGGUAGUCCACGCCGUAAACGAUGUGUGCUAGCCGUUGGAGCACGUUGGUGUUUCAGUGGCGCAGCUAACGCGUUAAGCACACCGCCUGGGGGAGUACGGUCGCAAGAUUA
rnacentral:rRNA from 1 species